UUAUUUUCCUCUUUAACCACUGUGAAUUUUAAAAGUUGUUUGUACAAAUUGUAAAAUGUUUAAUUAUAAUUAAUUCAUAUGUUAACAGGACGCAGAUUUUGAUACCGUAAUAAUAUAUAAUGACGGAAAAUUGGUAUGUUAAGAUAAUGCGUGAUCAGGAAAAAAAUAUGAUAUGAUGUGCAGUUAAAUUUAGUUCAAGGGCAAGUAAAACAGUUCUUACUUCUAUAGCAAAUCAUAAUGGAUUGCGUAAAUUUUGAAUUCGAUAAUUUUUAUUUUUUAAAGGAUACCUAAUGAAUCAUCUUUUCAUUAUCUCCUUUACAUGUGCUAUAUAAUACAUUAAAUAUCACGACAAAUAUAUUCACUCAUUGAUGUCAAACAACCGUAUUGUGCUACAUUACCAGUUUCCAGUAACAAUUUUUAAAUUGAUGUCGUUCUUAUUGGAAUCAUAAAGAAAGAUUUCUUAUGAAAAAGAUUUUGAAUCAUAAAGAAAGAUUUCUUAUGAAAAAGAUUUUAUAAAGAAAGAUUUCUUAUGAAAAAGAUUUUCUUAUUAUACAAAAAUGUACAACCACUUUUACAUGGUAAAUCCACGGAUUAGCAACACGUACAGAGGGAAAUACUGAAAAACACUGAAAAUCCGGAGAUAUAAAUCACUAAAUUUUUGUAUGCCUGACAAUUAAUAAAACAAAGAACACCAUGAAGAAAAAACAAUAAAGAAAGAAACAAUGGAGAUGCCAUCGAGCAGUGAUAUAACUAGAGGGCAUGAACACUACCUGAUGCAUAUACUGUUUUUGGAACAAGCUUCGCCCAUCGUAUUAAAGGCCAUUUUGAAAAGGGAAGAGGAAAAACUUGGAAAAAAUAUAAGUAUUGUGUUGAAUGAUAAUAGACAUACAUUUAAAGCACGGUACGGAACAGAGUUUCUACAAUUAUUUCAAGACGAGAAUGUCAAUUACGACAUUGAUACGUGGGACACUCAUCAAUUAUGUGCUGUAACAUUAGUUUUGUUUGAAUCAGGUCUAACUGAUCCAGAAGUUAAAUCUACUCAAUGUAUAUAUGAUCAGAGAAAAGAUAUUGAAAAUUACGUAGAAUGUGCCUCUCUAACAUACAAUACCUACAAGGAGAAACAAUUUCUAUUGAAAGAACAAUUACACGAGUUGAUAACGAUUAUAG